GGUUGUGUAGUGUAGCGGUUAUCACUCGAGAUUUUGAAGACAUUGAUUUCUCGUAACCCCGGUUCGAACCCGGGCACGACCU